rnacentral:rRNA from 1 species
UACGUAGGCAGCGAGCGUUGUUCGGAGUUACUGGGCGUAAAGGGUGUGUAGGCGGUCCCCUAAGUUUGGUGUGAAAUCUCCCGGCUUAACCGGGAGGGUGCGCCGAAAACUGGAGGGCUAGAGUGCGGGAUGGGAGAGUAGAAUUCCUGGUGUAGCGGUGAAAUGCGUAGAUAUCAGGAGGAAUACCGGUGGUGUAGACGGCUCUCUGGACCGCGACUGACGCUGAGACACGAAAGCGUGGGUAGCAAACAGG